rnacentral:rRNA from 1 species
AUUGAACGCUGGCGGCAUGCUUUACACAUGCAAGUCGAACGGCAGCGCGGGCUUCGUCCUGGCGGCGAGUGGCGAACGGGUGAGUAAUGCAUCGGAACGUGCCCAGUAGUGGGGGAUAGCCCGGCGAAAGCCGGAUUAAUACCGCAUACGACCUGAGGGUGAAAGCGGGGGGCCGAAAGGCCUCGCGCUAUUUGAGCGGCCGAUGUCGGAGUAGCUAGUUGGUGGGGUAAAGGCUUACCAAGGCGACGAUCCUUAGCUGGACUGAGAGGACGACCGGCCACACUGGGACUGAGACACGGCCCAGACUCCUACGGGAGGCAGCAGUGGGUAAUUUUGGACAAUGGGGGCAACCCUGAUCCAGCCAUGCCGCGUGCGGGAAGAAGGCCUUCGGGUUGUAAACCGCUUUUGUUCGGGAAGAAAUCCUCUGGGCUAAUACCCCGGGGGGAUGACGGUACCGGAAGAAUAAGCACCGGCUAACUACGUG